rnacentral:rRNA from 1 species
GACGAACGCUGGCGGCGUGCUUAACACAUGCAAGUCGAACGGAAAGGCCUGCUUUCCCUUGUGGAUUGCGGGUACUCGAGUGGCGAACGGGUGAGUAACACGUGAGUGAUCUGCCCCCAACUUGGGUAUAAGCCUGGGAAACUGGGUCUAAUUCCCGAUAGGACUGCAGGGUGGUGCCUGUGGUGGAAAACGAUUUUCUAGUGGUUGGGGAUGAGCUCGCGGCCUAUCAGCUUGUUGGUGGGGUAAUGGCCUACCAAGGCGGCGACGGGUAGCCGGCCUGAGAGGGUGGACGGCCACAUUGGGACUGAGAUACGGCCCAGACGCCUACGGGAGGCAGCAGUGGGGACUAUUGCACAAUGGGCGGAAGCCUGAUGCAGCGACGCCGCGUGGGGGAUGACGGCCUUCGGGUUGUAAACUCCUUUCGACCGCGAGGAAGCCACCUGGUUGGAAGGGUGGUGACGGUAGUGGUAGAAGAAGCACCGGCUAACUACGUG